CCCCAGUUCUAGUGCUUGCUCUCUUUACCCACUGAGCUGUCUCCCCAGCCCUGUGAGGCUAUUUGACUCCAAGGACCAGGGCCCAGCUCUGAGAAGCAGACAAGGCCCCAGCAGGGAGUGGACCCGUUGUUGAUGACAGUUGUGGGAAUGGGGACCUCCUCCGGAACUCACCCUCUUCCUCGUCUCCAUGGCUGUAGAGAGGACAAAUCACAGCUGAGGUCUCGCUAGCAGCUCAGGACCCUGAAAAGUCUCUGCAGCAGUGCACACCUGAGUCCAGAGGGCAGGCAGAGGCCGUGAAGUGGACCCACUCAGUAGCCUUGCCCGAAGGAAGAUUCCAAGGACACCCUGAGGCCAGGCCUCCAGAGUCGCAAGGCUGAUCUACAGCCCAGAAGGAUCAGGUACAUUCCCUGAGCAGUUGCAGGAGACGCCCUCACGUAUGGAGCUCAGAUGGUGAUGGGGCCAACCCCACUGUGCAGAGGCGCGCGUAGCAGUAGCUGGUAAACCCUCCCGCUGCAGCAGCCCAGGGAAAGUUCCGCAGCAGCUCAGAGACACUAGGUAGGUGGGAG